AUUGAACGCUGGCGGCAUGCUUUACACAUGCAAGUCGAACGGCAGCGCGGGGGCAACCCUGGCGGCGAGUGGCGAACGGGUGAGUAAUGCAUCGGAACGUAUCCUGUAAUGGGGGAUAACGUAGCGAAAGUUACGCUAAUACCGCAUACGCUCGAGAGAGGAAAGUGGGGGAUCGCAAGACCUCACGUUACAGGAGCGGCCGAUAUCAGAUUAGGUUGUUGGUGGGGUAAAGGCCUACCAAGCCGACGAUCUGUAGCUGGUCUGAGAGGACGACCAGCCACACUGGGACUGAGACACGGCCCAGACUCCUACGGGAGGCAGCAGUGGGGAAUUUUGGACAAUGGGCGAAAGCCUGAUCCAGCAAUGCCGCGUGCAGGAUGAAGGCCU
rnacentral:rRNA from 1 species